UACGUAGGGACCGAGCGUUGUCCGGAUUCAUUGGGCGUAAAGAGCUCGUAGGCGGCCACUCAAGUCGAAUGUGAAACCUCGAGGCUUAACCUCGAGCCUGCAUUCGAUACUGGGCGGCUAGAGUCUGGUAGGGGGAUCUGGAAUUCCUGGUGUAGCGGUGGAAUGCGCAGAUAUCAGGAGGAACACCGGUGGCGAAGGCGGGAUCCUGGGCCAGUACUGACACUCAGGUGCGACAGCGUGGGGAGCAAACAGG
rnacentral:rRNA from 1 species